UACGGAGGGUGCAAGCGUUAAUCGGAAUUACUGGGCGUAAAGCGUGCGUAGGCGGUUUGUCGCGUCUGCCGUGAAAGUCCGGGGCUCAACUCCGGAUCUGCGGUGGGUACGGGCAGACUAGAGUGAUGUAGGGGAGACUGGAAUUCCUGGUGUAGCGGUGAAAUGCGCAGAUAUCAGGAGGAACACCGAUGGCGAAGGCAGGUCUCUGGGCAUUAACUGACGCUGAGGAGCGAAAGCAUGGGGAGCGAACAGG
rnacentral:rRNA from 1 species